GGAAGCAAUUGCCCAUAAUCUUUGUGUGUUCUAUGUUAUUGUUUGAGACUGUCUCACCAUGUAGCCCAGGCUGGACCUUGAAGUUGGGGAGUCACUGCCCAGCUUUGGCAAUACUCAGGACUAAACUCAUGACCUUGUACUUACUAAGCAAGUGUUCUGGCACGGAGCUACACCCACAGCCCCAUGGGAAGCUUCCUGACUUGCGUGAGUUCCCUGCCCACAAACCAAAAGCCUGAUAGGGGUGAUCAGUGAACUCUCAAGGAAAAGAAAACCUUUCCUGUGCCCCAGAUUUCAACUGCCAUUUUGAGGACAGCCACCUAUCUGAGAGGCCUGAAACGCGGAGAUAAAGGGCUUCAUCUGGCCUUACACUGGGUGUUGUACAAGAAGUUGGACUUCCCUUCGAG
rnacentral:lncRNA from 1 species